rnacentral:rRNA from 1 species
GACGAACGCUGGCGGCAUGCCUAAUACAUGCAAGUCGAGCGAACGGAUGAAGUGCUUGCACUUCUGACGUUAGCGGCGAACGGGUGAGUAACACGUAAGGAAUCUACCUAUAAGCGGGGGAUAACAUUCGGAAACGGGUGCUAAUACCGCAUAAUAUCUUCUUCCGCAUGGAAGAAGAUUGAAAGACGGCUCUGCUGUCACUUAUAGAUGACCUUGCGGUGCAUUAGUUAGUUGGUGGGGUAAUGGCCUACCAAGACGAUGAUGCAUAGCCGACAUGAGAGGGUGAUCGGCCACAUUGGGACUGAGACACGGCCCAAACUCCUACGGGAGGCAGCAGUAGGGAAUCUUCCGCAAUGGGCGAAAGCCUGACGGAGCAAUGCCGCGUGAGUGAAGAAGGCCUUCGGGUCGUAAAACUCUGUUAUAAGAGAAGAACAAAUUGUAGAGUAACUGCUACAGUCUUGACGGUAUCUUAUCAGAAAGCCACGGCUAACUACGUGCCAGCCGCCGCGGUAA